UUUAUUGUUGGUCAAUUCAAGCAAAGUCAACGUUUCAGCUUUCAUCAGGACACAAAGAGCCUUUGUUGACUUUGCUUGAAUUGACCAACAAUAAAUUGGAUUAACUAAACCCAAGAGUGCCAGUAAUUUUUAGAUUUUUUUUUUAUAUUAAAAAAAACAACAACAACUCUGUAUUGCAGAGUAGCUGUUGACAUAGUUGUGCAGGAACUUUGUUGACUUUAGAGAACCUCGGGCAAAUCGCACAUCCCAGUGGCGGCGACUUUGCAUGUGGAUGUGAUCCAUAUCAACUUUCGAUGCCAGUUUCUGCGCCUACCAUGGUGACCAUGGGUAAUGGGGAAUCUGGAUUCCAUUCCGUACAGGGACCCUGAGAAACAGCUACCACAUGCAAGGAAGGCAGCAGGCGCGCAAAUGACCCACUCCCGAUGCGGCAAGAUAGUGACGACAAAUAACAAUACCGGACUCUUUAGAGGCUCUGUAAUUGUAAUGAGUCCACUUGAAAUCCUUUAACUCUGAUCAAUUGGAGGGAAGUCUGGUGCAGAACCACUGACCCGUGCGUGCUGCAGAUGAAACUCCACU